rnacentral:rRNA from 1 species
GGGGAAUUUUCCGCAAUGGGCGAAAGCCUGACGGAGCAAGACCGCGUGGGGGAAGAAGGCUCUUGGGUUGUCAACCCCUUUUCUCAGGGAAGAAGUUCUGACGGUACCUGAGGAAUAAGCAUCGGCUAACUCCGUGCCAGCAGCCGCGGUAAGACGGAGGAUGCAAGCGUUAUCCGGAAUUAUUGGGCGUAAAGCGUCCGUAGGUGGCUUUUCAAGUCGGCGGUCAAAGACCGGGGCUUAACUCCGGAAAGGCCGUGGAAACUGAAAGGCUAGAGAAAGGUAGGGGUAGGGGGAAUUCCCGGUGUAGCGGUGAAAUGCGUAGAGAUCGGGAAGAACACCGGUGGCGAAAGCGCCCUACUGGACCUUAUCUGACACUGAGGGACGAAAGCUAGGGGAGCGAAAGGGAUUAGAUACCCCAGUAGUCA